rnacentral:tRNA from 4 species
GGUGGGUGGGCAGGACGGUAAUGCGCGAGUCUUGAAAACUCGUGGGCGCAAGCCCUAACAGGUUCGACCCCUGUACCCACCGCCA